ensembl:lncRNA
GGUCGGAUGCGGUUGUCAAUCAGGCCGUACAUGGCAGUGAAAGGUGAGCUAUUUUUAGAGGGCUAUAUAACGGCCUCGGCGCUCUCGCCUCGGACACAACGGCCACUGAGCUAAGAGCGAGACCGGAGAGUUACUUCCCUAAGAUAUGUACGCAUGCAUUGAUGGGCCCAAGUGCAUUCUGAUAUGUUUCCUUGCUGUCAGCAUUUGCCUGUGAGGUUCCACAGCGGUUCCCCACAGUAUCGCUAAUGGAAGACGCCAAAACGAGCCUAAUGACGGCCUCCUUCACUUGCAUCGACACCUCUUUGGACUGCAUAUUGAGAUUUCC